UAAUACAGAGGGGGCAAGCGUUGUCCGGAAUUACUGGGCGUACAGCGCGCGCAGGCGGUGGCUGACGUGCCGUGUGACAAGCGGGGGCUCAACCCCCGAGGGCCACGGUAAACGGGGCGACUGGAGGGAGGGAGAGGGAUGUGGAAUGCCCGGUGGAGCGGUGAAAUGCGUAGAGAUCGGGCGGAACACCAGCGGCGAAGGCGGCAUCCUGGCCCUUACCUGACGCUGAGGCGCGAGAGCGUGGGGAGCAAACCGGAUUAGAUACCCGGGUAGUCCACGCCGUAAACGAUGUGAACCCGGUGCUGGGAGGUGAUUGCGCCUCUCGGUGCCCCAGCUUACGCGAUGAGUUCACCGCCUGGGGACUACGGCCGCAAGGCUA
rnacentral:rRNA from 1 species